rnacentral:rRNA from 1 species
UACAGAGGGUGCAAGCGUUGUUCGGAAUUAUUGGGCGUAAAGAGCGUGUAGGCGGCUGGGUAGGUCCGUUGUGAAAACUCGAGGCUCAACCUCGAGACGCCGAUGGAAACCCCCCGGCUAGAGUCCGGAAGAGGAGAGUGGAAUUCCUGGUGUAGCGGUGAAAUGCGCAGAUAUCAGGAAGAACACCCGUGGCUAAGGCGGCUCUCUAGUACGGUACUGACGCUGAGACGCGAAAGCGUGGGGAGCGAACAGG